rnacentral:rRNA from 1 species
AUUGAACGCUGGCGGCAGGCCUAACACAUGCAAGUCGAGCGAGCGGCGGACGGGUGAGUAAUGUCUGGGAAACUGCCUGAUGGAGGGGGAUAACUACUGGAAACGGUAGCUAAUACCGCAUACUAUCAGAUGAGCCCAUAUGGGAUUAGCUAGUAGGUGGGGUAAUGGCUCACCUAGGCGACGAUCCCUAGCUGGUCUGAGAGGAUGACCAGCCACACUGGAACUGAGACACGGUCCAGACUCCUACGGGAGGCAGCAGUGGGGAAGAUUGCACAAUGGGCGCAAGCCUGAUACAGCCAUGCCGCGUGUGUGAAGAAGGCCUUCGGGUUGUAAAGCACUUUCAGCGGGGAGGCGUUACUCGCAGAAGAAGCACCGGCUAACUCCGUGCCAGCAGCCGCGGUAAUUC